rnacentral:RNase_P_RNA from 1 species
UAUUCAAGCUGGGCAAUUGCUAUUGAGCUGUAAAAAGCUGGAAUAGAGGAAAGUCCGAACUCCGCAGAACAAGGUGCCGGGUAACGCCCGGAGUCCCGAUUUAUCGGGGCAUGGAAAGCGCCACAGAAAAUAUACCGUCCCGAUUUUACGGGAUAAGGGUGAAAUGGCAGGGUAAGAGCCUACCGCUCCGGUAGUAAUACCGGAGGUCUCAUUUAAGAGAGUUCCGAUUUAUCGGAAUCAAGGCAAGCCCCACCUGGAGCAAGGUCAUGUAUAGGGAGUUUUUGGGUAACCGGAACGGGGUUGUUCGCUCUGAAUCUCCCGGGGUAGACCGCAAGAUUCAGUCAGUAAUGGCUGAACAAGACAAAUAAUUGCCGCCACGAUUUAUCGGGGUUACAAAAUUCGGCUUAUAAGCUUGGAUAAUUA